AACGAACGCUGGCGGCAGGCCUAACACAUGCAAGUCGAACGCCCUAGCAAUAGGGAGUGGCAGACGGGUGAGUAACACGUGGGAACGUGCCUUUCGGUUCGGAAUAACCCAGGGAAACUUGGACUAAUACCGGAUACGUGCGAGAGCAGAAAGAUUUAUCGCCGAAAGAUCGGCCCGCGUCCGAUUAGCUAGUUGGUGAGGUAACGGCUCACCAAGGCGACGAUCGGUAGCUGGUCGAGAGGAUGAUCAGCCACAC
rnacentral:rRNA from 1 species